AACGAACGCUGUCGGCAUGCCUAACACAUGCAAGUCGUACGAGAAAGCUUCUUCGGAAGUGAUUAAAGUGGCGCACGGGUGAGUAACGCGUAGGUGAUCUGCCUUUUGGUGGGGGAUAACUCGAAGAAAUUCGGGCUAAUACCGCAUACGUACUGCAAUUUUGAAAGUAGCAGUAGAAAGAGUGCCUCUCCUUGGAAGCACUUUCCAUUAGAUGAGCCUGCGUAGCAUUAGUUAGAUGGUGGGGUAAUGGCCUACCAUGACUACGAUGCUUAACUGGUCUGAGAGGAUGAUCAGUCACACUGGAACUGAGACACGGUCCAGACUCCUACGGGAGGCAGCAGUGGGGAAUAUUGCGCAAUGGGGGAAACCCUGACGCAGCAAUGCCGAGUGAGUGAGGAAGGCCUUCGGGUCGUAAAACUCUGUCAGAAGGGAAUAACGGCAUAGUGUCUAAUAGGCAUUAUGUUUGAAGUACCUUCAAAGAAGCACCGCUAACUU
rnacentral:rRNA from 1 species